rnacentral:rRNA from 1 species
AGAGUUUGAUCAUGGCUCAGGACGAACGCUGGCGGCGUGCUUAACACAUGCAAGUCGAACGGUGAUCUUGGGAGCUUGCUCCUGGGUGAUCAGUGGCGAACGGGUGAGUAACACGUGAGUAACCUGCCCCGGACUCUGGGAUAACUUCGGGAAACCGGAGCUAAUACCGGAUAUGACCCUCGCCUGCAUGGGCUGGGGGUGGAAAGUUUUUCGGUCUGGGAUGGGCUCGCGGCCUAUCAGCUUGUUGGUGAGGUAGUGGCUCACCAAGGCGACGACGGGUAGCCGGCCUGAGAGGGCGACCGGCCACACUGGGACUGAGACACGGCCCAGACUCCUACGGGAGGCAGCAGUGGGGAAUAUUGCACAAUGGGCGCAAGCCUGAUGCAGCGACGCCGCGUGAGGGAUGACGGCCUUCGGGUUGUAAACCUCUUUCAGCAGGGAAGAAGCGUGAGUGACGGUACCUGCAGAAGAAGCACCGGCUAACUACGUGCCAGCCGCCGCGGUAAUUC